GGUAGGAUUGAGCAGUGGUCAGCUCUUCGGGCUCAUGAUCCGAAAGUCAGAGGUUCGAAUCCUCUUCCUGCCC
rnacentral:tRNA from 1 species